GACAGAGGAGCCAAGCGUUGUCCGGAUUGACUGGGCGUAAAGCGCACGCAGGCGGUUUCGCGCGUGGGGGGUGAAAUCUGGCCGCUUAACGGCCAGGCGCCAUCCCAUACGGCGCGACUGGAGUGAUGCAGAGGUCGAUGGAAUUGCCGGUGUAGUGGUGAAAUGCGUAGAGAUCGGCAGGAACACCCAGGGGGAAACCAGUCGACUGGGCAUCUACUGACGCUGAGGUGCGAGAGCGUGGGGAGCGAACUGG
rnacentral:rRNA from 1 species